UUGGGGGUACGCUCUAUACCCUUUGUGACAUACCUACAACUGUUGCUUCGGCGGGUAGGCCGUCCCCUGAAAAGGACGCCUCCCGGCCCGGACCGGACCCCCCGCGGGACCGGACCCGGCGCCCGCCGGAGGAUAACCAAACUCUAUUGUAACGACGUUUCUUCUGAGUGGCAUAAGCAAAAUAAUCAAAACUUUUAACAACGGAUCUCUUGGUUCUGGCAUCGAUGAAGAACGCAGCGAAAUGCGAUAAGUAAUGUGAAUUGCAGAAUUCAGUGAAUCAUCGAAUCUUUGAACGCACAUUGCGCCCGCCAGCAUUCUGGCGGGCAUGCCUGUUCGAGCGUCAUUUCAACCCUCAAGCUCUGCUUGGUGUUGGGGCUCUACGGUCGACGUAGGCCCUCAAAGGUAGUGGCGGACCCUCCCGGAGCCUCCUUUGCGUAGUAACAUUUCGUCUCGCACUGGGAUCCGGAGGGACUCUUGCCGUAAAACCCCCCAAUUUUCCAAAGGUUGACCUCGGAUCAGGUAGGAAUACCCGCUGAACUUAAGCAUAUCAAAAGGCCGGAGGAACAUUACUGAGUUACGCUCUAUAACCUUUUUGUGAACAUACAUACAACUGUUGCUUCGCGGGUUAGGCGUCCCUGAAAAGGACGCUCCGGCCCGGACCGGACCCCCGCGGGACGGGACCCGGCGCCCGCCGGGAGGAUACCAAAUCUAUUGUAAGACGUUUCUUCUUAGUUGGCAUAAGCAAAUAAUCAAAUUUUACACGCAUCUCUGGGUUUCGGGCAUCAUGAAGAAGGCAGUCAUGCAUAGUUAAUGUGUAAUUGCAGAAUUCAUGAAUCAUCAAUUUUAGCUGGGGGACUUCGGGCGGGAGGCGUCAGGCUAUUUCCUCAAGCUCUGCUUGAGGCU
rnacentral:rRNA from 1 species